UAAGCCUGUGAAGGUGUGUCGUGAGGCAUGCUGGAGGUAUCAGAAGUGCGAAUGCUGACAUAAGUAACGAUAAAGCGGGUGAAAAGCCCGCUCGCCGGAAGACCAAGGGUUCCUGUCCAACGUUAAUCGGGGCAGGGUGAGUCGACCCCUAAGGCGAGGCCGAAAGGCGUAGUCGAUGGGAAACGGGUUAAUAUUCCCGUACUUGGUGUUACUGCGAAGGGGGGACGGAGAAGGCUAUGUUGGCCGGGCGACGGUUGUCCCGGUUUAAGCGUGUAGGUGUGUGUUCCAGGUAAAUCCGGUUCACUUUAACACUGAGGCGUGACGACGAGGCACUACGGUGCUGAAGCAACAAAUGCCCUGCUUCCAGGAAAAGCCUCUAAGCAUCAGGUAACAUCAAAUCGUACCCCAAACCGACACAGGUGGUCAGGUAGAGAAUACCAAGGCGCUUGAGAGAACUCGGGUGAAGGAACUAGGCAAAAUGGUGCCGUAACUUCGGGAGAAGGCACGCUGACACGUAGGUGAAGUGAUUUACUCAUGGAGCUGAAGUCAGUCGAAGAUACCAGCUGGCUGCAACUGUUUAUUAAAAACACAGCACUGUGCAAACACGAAAGUGGACGUAUACGGUGUGACGCCUGCCCGGUGCCGGAAGGUUAAUUGAUGGGGUCAGCGCAAGCGAAGCUCCUGAUCGAAGCCCCGGUAAACGGCGGCCGUAACUAUAACGGUCCUAAGGUAGCGAAAUUCCUUGUCGGGUAAGUUCCGACCUGCACGAAUGGCGUAAUGAUGGCCAGGCUGUCUCCACCCGAGACUCAGUGAAAUUGAACUCGCUGUGAAGAUGCAGUGUACCCGCGGCAAGACGGAAAGACCCCGUGAACCUUUACUAUAGCUUGACACUGAACAUUGAGCCUUGAUGUGUAGGAUAGGUGGGAGGCUUUGAAGCGUGG
rnacentral:rRNA from 1 species